rnacentral:lncRNA from 1 species
AAUUUAUAUGACUGUAGAUUCCAAACGCAGUUAUUGUGGAGUUUCAACAAGACCACAUAUGAGAAAGAAAGAGAGAAAAUAUCUGCAUGUGUCAGUGUUCAAAUGACACCAUCAGAGACUGUUGAGAGUAAGACAAGACCUCUCCUUUGUGACCAGUUAACUGAUACUAGACAAGUAUUGUUCUAGCAGGUAAAAUGACUCGAAGAUAUCUUCAAACUUUAUAUUUUUUAAUAACCCCCAUAAUACAGAAUUACCUAUGGAUGUACAUGUUGGAGUACAUUCACGUGAAAGUAUAGAAUCAGACAUUAUUCAGGCAGACUUUCCCUGUUCCAAAUACUCCUUAAUUGAGGAACUACCUUGACUACUAAUUUUAAAUCACAAUAGUUCCAUGCAGAAGGGAGAGCUAAGUUUUGGGUUACAAAAUUUUGAAAACCACCAUAUAGAACCCACCUAAAAUAUCCAACCACCAACUUGCCACUGGCGAUGGCUGAGAAAGCAGAAGGGAGGCAGAUGUGGUUGUUGCCCAGUUGGAAAUGAUGAUACUAAUAAGACUUUAAGUGAAGUAAGCAGAAGGAGUUUGGGGCAUUUGUUAUGCUCUCCUUGAAGCUCUGUUCUGAGUCCUCCCAGACCUGGCUGGAGAUUGAUUUUCCUUCUGUGCUAGAUAUCCUACGUGAAAAUAACCAUGGCAGUAUUAAUAAUAGCACUGUAGCAGCUGUUUGGAAAGUGAGCACCUUCCAUACCUUAACUUUCUAUUUUGCCUGGUAGAUUGCACUCUUUUCCUUUUCACUAGCAGAUAGUUCUCUGAGUACGAAUCUAAAGAGAGGAGAGCCAAGGCUAUCUAUAUUGCCUAUGGUAAGACAGCAUAGUGAGACAUUUCCUUAAAAAUCUGGGAAUGACUGCAAAUGGCAUUGGGAAUACAAUCAUGAGUUGGUUGCCCCUGAUGGUAGUUCUUCAGGUUCAUGCAUAGGAAGCUCCAAGGGAAGGUUGACUCAUUAGAUGCACCAAAGGUUGGCUUACUCUAAAAAUGAACAUGUCAUGAGCAUGCACACAGGGUUAAUAACAUAUAUUGAGCUUUUCCUAUAUGCUAGAUUCUUUUUUACCUUCUUAUUAAAUCCAAACAACAACGUCCCAGUGAAGAUGUUGUUAUCAACAAGAAUAUAAGCAGAAUGAGUAGCAAUUUGGGUUCACUUGUAUACAAUAAACACUUGGCACAUUUGCUUUUCAAAUGAUUUAAUAAAUGUUAACCUUAUGGAUGAAGAAACAGAGUUUUGCAGAGAUUGAAUACUCUGCCAAAUUCCCCCAGCCAGAUAACGCCAGAACAGGGAAACAGGCCUGACGCUAUGGGGAGAUUUUGUUCCCUGCCAGAGGUUCAGCAUACCCAAAUCCCCUCCCUUGUGUGGGCCCUGGUUGGAGUUGGACACAAGAAAAAUUUGCAUGAGAUAUGGAAGGUAGAAGUGAAGCAGCAGCUGUUAUGCUCAGAGGAUGGACAUAUGGAUGCCAGGCACCAUGACAGUGUCAACUUACACGUCAUCACUUAUCUGCUGGUUCACCUCGUUGGUGUGGGGCAAUGGCUGGGUCCACAGCUUCUCUAGUUUUCAGCAGAUCUCUUCCUUUCAGUUCUUUGAGUCCUGAGCCAUGGCAGGAACCUUGUGCAGCUUCACGGCAAAGGACACCAGUCUCUUCUGCAAGUUAUCUAUAUUGUUGAGGUUGGAGGCCAUGAGAUACAGAUGUGGGUUUUAGUUUGUCUUGUCUCUCUGUUCAUGUCCAGCUUGUCUUCCUGAUUGCCAGCCUUCUUGACCUCUAGUGACUUCAAGGCUACUGCCAGAUGCAAAGGCAACAGCCUCCCAUAGGCUUCUUUAUAAGUUCCCACAAUGCUGUCGAGUCUAACCUCUUCAGUAAACCAUUUAUUUCAUAUCACUUGUGGUGGCUGUGCUUCCAUGAUCAAACUUUAGCUGUUAUGGUUUGUCAGACUCCAAAUUUCCAGGAUACUGCACUCACUGGGAGACUAUGAGGGUGAAGGCACGAGCAGGUUUCAGUGGGACUGGAAUCCUCUGGCUUUAGGAAACUGAGUACUUCCUUAAUCAGAUGCUCAGAGAACAAAGCAAGGGGAUAUACAUGAGCAAAACAGAAAAUUGAGAAGUCAUAUCAAUGUUUCAUUUAGCUUAUGAGAUUACAGAGCUAGUAAUUUCAUGGCCAAUUAUAUGUUUAAGAUAGGCCAAAAAUAAGUUGAAAAAAUAUUUCAGUGGCCGUUUGUGGACAAUAUAAAAAUGACAUUUUUCUGAUUUCUCAAUCAGUGCUUUUCAGUAUCUUAGUCACAGCCUACAUUUACAUGCCAAACAUCUGCAUGGAAAGUGAAAAUAUGCUGUUAUAACCUAGAUGAAACAUCUGGAAGAUGAUAUUUUUCUACUUUUUAUUCAUUUGGUGUCACAUAGAUCUAGGCAUCAACACAUAUCUCUUUUCCCUUAACUUUAAAAAAACAUGAUUUUAUUUUUCAGUGCACUUUUUCUGGAAAACAAUUUUGCAAGGUGCAAGGUAUUCAGAUGAAGUGCUGAAAUCUUGGCUGUAGGAAAAGUUAAGCAUAACCAACCAACACUUACUUCAACCCCAACUGCAACACUUCUGAGACUUACCCUUUGCCAUUUAGCACGUUCCUUUUGCUGUCUGCUUGCACACUAUGUACCCUGGGACUUUCCUGGUUUUCUCUGCCUUCUGCUUUUGGGGUAAUAUUGGUUUAACCAAUAUUAAACCAAGAAGUACAACAUUAGAAAGACCCAAUUUUCUUACAUGAAAGCAAGAAGUUUAUUCAACUCAUUGCUUCACUUUAUUUCUAGGGGCCUUUUCUAGGUCCAGAAAGAAGUUGUCCUUAGCCCUAGACUUUCUGUACCUCUACCCACCCUCCCUUCAGUAUGUAUGUACGUUGUCUGUCUUGAGUGAGAUAAUAUGCCCAUGCAGAUACGCUCUUCUUUGUUUUCUAAGCAUUAGGGUUGCUGAUACACAACAAUAUUUUUUCUUGGUAGAAGUAUGUUCCAUGCAAUAUUUGGGAUAUAUUUUAUGCACAAUUACUUGCUGUUUAGCUAAAAUUCAAAUUUAACUGGGCAUCCUGUAUUUUAUUUGCUAAAUCUGUCAACCAUAGUGUAGAUACUUCUCGCAUCCCCAAUCUCCCAAAGCUCCCAUUUUCUAAAUCCUGCACACUGACAAGACUUUCAACAGUAAGUUAACUUCUGGACAGCUUGCCAGACUCUCCUUGAGGAAUGUGUUUGCCUUCUAGCAUUUGGAUGAAUAAUUUAGUUCUGCCACUAAAACAAAACAUGAAUGGGCAUUUGAUGUAAACAUUAUUUUCCUCACUGCUUUGGCUGAAGAGCUGAAGAGUUAGAAAGGUCCUACCGGCAACAUCCACCUUUCUGAAAUGCACUGCUUGCUCACAGACUUAAGGUGUAGCUUGAGCUGUUUCUGGGUUACACAGCUUUUCUUCUAUUUCCGUUUUUUUCUUCUUCAAAGUUUCUAGUCUUCUUUUCUUACAGAAGUAUGACCUCUCUUCAAGUCUCAACCAGGACCAACAUUUGUGCCAUCCAGAUUUUGCGACCCAGAAAUGGCCAUCUGACCAGUCCAUGGAAGGCCUUCCUAGACUGGAGUGUGUAUUCUUAUGACCCAGAUCACAUAAUACUGACAGAGAGGUAUUUGGCAGUAACAUGGGUAAUAAUGGUAAGGAAGGGUAUAUGGACUACGAUUUAUAAAGGCUUUUUGAAAUUAGCUUGAAAAUAACACUUACUGGGAUUUCCCACAUUUUAAAACUAACAUGCUUAUUGUAGAAAAACAUGCAAAACAUACAAAAGCUAAAAGCAAACAUAACAAAACAAUCACUCACAAAUUCACAUCUUGAGAUAUUCACUGUUGUUAUUUUUGGUGUAUAUUUAUAAUAUUUUUCUAUAAAUUUAUUUGUUGUUUCAAAAAAGUACCAUAUAACACAGAAAUACACAGCAACUUUUUUUUGUGAUUUAGCAAUGGAUUUUGAACAUUUUUUUCUGUGCAGAGUACAUGUGUAUGUCAAUAAUUCUCAAUAUUUUUUGGGUUGCAGAUCUUAUUUAAGAAAGUAAAGCUGCUUCUUUCACGAAAACAACUAUACAGGUACCUAGAGGAUUUGGGUACAAUUUCAGAUCAUUAAAAUACAUCUGUAGAUCCUAAAGAUAAAGAAGUCCUGUUCUAAAGUAUCACAACUAAUUUGAAUGACUGACAUGGGAUAUUUUGAGGCUUCCAGUAAGAAUUUAUUUUAUAUAAGCUAAAUAGGCAAUUAGACAUUUGCUACAUUGGGACCUCAUAUUAUAAGAUUUUGCUUUUUUUUUUUCUUGGAAUUCAGGUUUUUAGGGUAGUGGUCCCCAACUUUUUUGGCAGCAGGGACUGGUUCAUGGAAGACAAUUUUUCUGCUGAGCAGGGGUGGGAGGUGGGCAGGGUUGGGUGAUGGUUUCGGGAUGAAACUGUUUCACCUCAGAUCAUCAGGCAUUAGAUUCUCAUAAGGAGCACACAACCUAGAUCCUUUGCAUAUGCAGUUCACAGUGGCAUUUCUGCUUCUUUGAGAAUUUAAUGCUGCUGCUGAUCUGACAGGAGGUGGAGCUCAGGUGGUAAUGCUCACUUCCCCGCCAUUCACCUGCUGCUGUGCAACCCUGUUCCUAAUAGGCCACAGACCAGUACAUGUCCACAGCCCAGGGGCAUGGCAAGAGGAGACAUUAGCAAAUAUGCAGAUUGUCCUGUUUACAUGUCAGCUCUGAAGACUGUUGAGUUGAUGGGUCUUCCCUUGGUUGCAAGCCAACAGCAGUCAGAAGCAAGAAACCUUGUCUAGAUUUCACAAUAACCUUGUCACAAGUCUCACGUUUCCUGUAGGAAAGCUGAAUUUACCAGCACACUCACUGUGAGUAAAACUGUAACUCUGCUCUGAGCAGAAGGCUUGUGCUGAGGAUAAAAACAAAUUCUCAGUGGAAAUACAAAAUUGAUCUAUUAAUUCCUGGAUGCUAAAGACAAUGAUUUUUUCCUGUCUGGUGGCUGUUUUUCUUUUGUAUGUAACUUUCAGUUUAUUUCCGUAGUUAGGAAAGAGAUAAAGCAACUUGAGAAAGCAUAGGAAGGUGUAGUCCCCUGAAAUCUAAAUGAAGCCUGUUUGGUCUUGCAGUUUCCUGUGCAGGUCUGGCCUGGGGCAGGACUAUAUGGGCAUCUGCAGCCCACACAAUGUAGGAAAAAGACUGGUAGAAUAUUAUCAUUAACUAAAGUAACUAUAGAUGUUCAUUACUGAGCACUUAUUGUACAAUGGCCAUUGGGCUAGGUGCUCUACCUAAAUUACAUUAAAUUCUCACCACUCUAAAAAGUAGGUAUCAUUUUUCUUUUAUGUGGAAGGGGCUGUGCCACUGAAUGGGUAAGAGCACAGACUCUGGCUUUCCACAAUCUCGAUUCAUACAUAUUGGCCUUGUGACCUUGAGAAAGUUACUUAGUCUCCUUGUGCGGCAUUUCUUUCAUCUGUAAAAUGGGGCUAAAACACAAAUUUGAAUCCAGGUCAGAGUUUCUUUUUUAAAUUUAUUUUUUAAUAAAAAAUUUUAAUGAGAUGUAAUUCACAUAUAUUAAAAUUUGCCCAUUUAAAGUGUACAAUACCAUGUUUUUAUUUUUCAUUUUUAAAUUUUAAUUUUUAUUCUUCCAACCUUUUUUUUUUUUUUUUUUUUCUGAGACAAGGUCUCACUCUGUUACCCAGGCUGGAGUGCACUGGGGCGAUCUCGGCUUACUGCAACCUCGGCUCACUGCAACCUCUGCCUCCCGGGCUCAAGUGAUUCUCUUGCUUCAGCCUUCUAAGUAGCUGGAAUUAACAGGCAUGUGCCACCACGCCUGGCUAAUUUUUUGUAUUUUUAGUAGAGACAGAGUUUCACGAUGUUGGCCAGGCUGGUCUUGAGCUCCUGGCCUCAAGUGAUCUGGCCACCUUUGCCUCCCAAAGUGCUGGAAUUAUGGGCGUGAGACACUGCGCCUGGCCUUUCCCACCUUCCACCCUCAAGUGGGCCCCAGUGUCUAUUGCUCCCCUCUAUGUGUCCAUCUGUACUCAAUGUUUAGCUCCCACUUAUGUGGUCAGUGUUUAGCUCCCACUUUAGAACAUGCGGUAUUUGGUUGUCUGUUCCUGAAUCAAUUUGUUUAGGAUAAUGUCAGCCAGGGUUUCUACCCAGGAAAGCCUACUGCCUGAUUCAGUCCUUAGCUAAAUUGUAAAGAUCCCUUUGAUUCCUCCCUCCAGCCCUCCUUUCUCACUACAGCACCCUCUCUCCCUAUCUCCACUAACAAGAUCUUUCCUUCCCUCUCCUUCUUCUCUUCAUAACUUCGCUUGCAACUUCCGGUUUCCAGGCUACAGAAUGCCAGCUUUCACAAGUGUGAGGACUGCUAUGAAAGAGAGGCACAUGCAUAGCAAGGGCAUUUUUAGACCUCCAAAGCCUCAGGAACACAGGAAGUAAUUCUCUAAUAAAUAGAUAUCUGGAAUUGUAACUGGUUGAAGGAAAUACUUGGUGCCAAAUUCCUAUUUAGUGCUCCUCAAAACACACGAUGAUGGAAAGUGGCCUCCUCCUUUUUCUAAAUUAAUUGGGCUUUGAUAUGGGUCUGGAAGAAACUCAUGAGCUGCAGUCUUUCAUUCAGGAACUUAAUAACUUUUGGCCAUAGUUGGAAUGACUUGUCAUGUUUGGGUCCAGCCAAUAGGGAACACAGGUCACAUCUUUCCCUGCAUAAGCCCACAGCCACCCAUGCUGUGGGUAGCUGUCCCUUUCCUUUCCCUUCAUAAAGUGGAUAGGAGGCGAAUAAGGCUGAAUAGUAAUUAUAAACAUCUGGUGGUUACUUUAUGAUUAGGUCAUGUUAAAGAUUUUGGGAAGCCUUCCAUCAGUCUCAGUUAAUAUCUUUCCAAUUAUGUUUACAUUGACAUUUACCCUGGGCCCUGUAACUUCUCAUUAUGCCUUCUGGAGUUAUCCCAUACGCUCUGGGCGUGGUGAGAAGUUCACCAGGGAGGCAAGGAUUACUGCUGCUACUGCUUGAUCAAGGGGAAAGGCAGCCAGCAGUUCCAAGGAGCCAGGAAGGGACUGCCCAGACAUGAAGAAAGAUAAUGUGGUUACUAUUUUGUCAUAUACUUUGGCUUUAUUUUACCUGAAAGUUCAAUGACCAAGAUACUAGAAAAAGUCUUCAUAGCACUGAGGGGCUGUUUCUGAAUUAGAGACACAACUGAUAGUUGGAAGCCUGUUGUUUGUGAGAAAGAAUUGUUUGACUAGCAACACACCUAGCCUCUCUGCAUUAAUCUCCCAAAUGAAAUUCAGAACAGGUAUUGGAAGCCUAGACAUGAAAUGAAAGAAAAAUGUAUGAACUAAGUACACUGAUUGCAUUCAUUCAGCAGGUGUUUUCUUGUUGUCUGAGCAACUUCUAUAUAUUUAGCUCACUGCAUAACAAGGUGCAGAUACAGUGGUAUAUAAGACAUUGUCAGCUGGGCACGGUGGCUCAGGCCUGUAAUCCCAGCACUUUGGGAGGCCGAGGUGGGCAGAUCACUUGAGGUCAGGAGUUCAAGACCAGCCUGACCGACACGGUAAAACCCCAUCUCUACUAAAAAAAAAAAAUACAUAAACAAAGCCGGGCGUGGUGGCAUAUGCCAGUAAUCCCACCUACUUGGGAGGCUGAGGCAGGAGAAUCAGUUAAACCCGGGAGGCAGAGGUUUCAGUGAGCCGAGAUGGUGCCACUGCACUCCAGCCUGGGCAACAGAGUGAGACUCCGUCUCAAAAAAAAAAAAAAAAGACAUUGUCUCCUUUCUCUAAAGCCAUAUGGUUUAGUUGGGUGGUAAGGUAGAUGAUAAAAUAUUUACAUAAAAUUAUAAGUAUAGAAAAUGAAGCAUAUACUCUAAGUAAUACACAAAAAUGUCUCCUGAUAAGCCUUUUAUUUUGUGUUUGGUGUAAUUUUUUAAAGUGACAUGUUCAUGUUUUUGAAUAAAUUUUACUUACGUCUUUGUGUUUUUAUGUACUUUCCAGUGGAAAAUUAUUAAAAAUGUUUUCCCAGCAAAUCAACACAAUUUAAUAGUAAAUAGCAAUAUUAGCAGCAUUCCAUCUAGUGCAAAAUAGGUCUUUCAAGCACAGUGGCCAAUGACCGUGGAGAAGUCUCCCAGGAAGGUUCUGGAACAGGUUCUUACAGGAAGGGCAGCCGAGAACAUCAAUGAUUAAAAGGGGGCUGAGAAGAGGAAACUGAUGGACAAAGAGGUGAGAAGUGGGAGAAAGAACGAAAAUCUGGAGGUUGGAGGAUAAACAAACCCACAUCCUUGUGGAUGAAGAAGGAUACCAAAAACUCAUUUUCCUGGAAGGAGCAAUUUUUGAAAUCAGCUACACUGAGGCUGCAGAUUGAGUGAAGGUCUUUUCCAUGUGAAUUUGUCCUGCAUCUGGGAUAAAGGUAUAAUGAUUACCUAAAGCAUGUUCUGUUCAUGGAAGAUCACUGGAACACAAAAGACCAAGCUCACAGCAUAUUCAAGACAUCUGCUCGUAUUCCACUGGCCAAAGAAAGUGAUGUGGCCCAGCCUAAAGUCAGGAACAGGAGCAGGAGGCUUUGACAACUGAGAUCUUCGAUCAUGAGUGUUGUGAAUGCAGACGGGGUGAGUUUCUAUAUGAAUGCACUUUCCUGUGACUUGAUAAUUAUUCUGUGGAGUCUAGCAUGCCUCAGAUGUUCAAACCUCUUCCCUCCCUUGGAGUGUGGCAUCAGAUGCUGCCUGCCAGCAACUUGCAGAUGACAAUCUGCCCCUUGUCUUUUCCUGGGAUCUUGCAAGAAGGAACUACUUCCCUACACUGUGGGUCAAGCAUAGUAGUUCUUUACCAUCACCUGUUCGUUAAAUAUUUUUUUUGCUUCUAGGUUUUGUACUCCAGGCACUGUGCUAGGCACCAGGACUAUAAUACAACUUGUGAUCUGUAGAGGAGUCAGACAAUUAUCCAGGCAUCCCAAAGAAAUGUCAAUUGCAAGCCUGGAUCCCUUUUUCCCUGGAGGCUGUUCUGAAGAUGGCACCCUACCUGCUCACCUUUUAGUGUACCUGGGCACCCAUGCCUCCAUAUGGUGACCCUCAAAUCAUACUGUAUGAAGAGCAGCUGUUUUGUCAACUAUUUUUUAAUGAGAUUUUUUUUGCUUUGGUUUAAAAAAUAGCAUAUAUUUGCGUUAGAAAAUUAGAAAUACAGAAGAAACAGAAAUAUAAAAGAAUUACCUAUAACAUGCAAAAAUGACUAGUACAAAUGUUUUUGUUUUUUUACAGUAUGUGAACAUAUUGUAUGUUUAUAUUAAUAUCCAUAGUAUUUAUUUUUGCCUACAUGUUUUACUUAACAUAUGUAGUAAGCAUUUCCCAUGUUAGUCAAAUUAUUUGUGGACAUUAUUUUUAAUGACUAUUAAUGUUAUUACUCUACAGCUUGCCGAAUAAGUCUCCUAUUAUAUGUCAUUUUGGGUCCUAGCAACAUUUUUGUGUUUAAAUCCUUGUAGCAGUUUUGACUGAUUUCCUUAAGAUAGAGUCCAAGAAGAGAAAUAAUUUGCUUGUUUGUUUAUCAUUUGGUACUUUCUUUUAUGGUAAUGUCCUUGGGGCUGAUAAUUCAGAACCAUGAAUAGAUAUGAUUCUUGUCUUUGAGGAGAUUGUAGCCUUGUGCUAGGUUAAAGAAUAGGCACGUUUUAAAGUUCUCGAUACACAUUUUCAAAGUGCUUUUCAAAAAUUUGUAUCAAUUCAUCCUUCUACUAUAAGGGAAAAUCUGUUCUGGGUUGUUUUUCUGGUAUAUCUUCCUAUUAAGAACCUGUUCUCCCUCCUGCUUUGUGACUCACAUGGAGUUGCCACUGCAUGCUAUCAUCUCCAUCCCUUAGAGCAACCUAUUAGAGAACUUACUCUCUGGAGUCCCAAAAGAGAAACAACAGCAACAACUCAGCAAUUCAUCUGGGGUCAGCGUGUUACCCAGUCUGGGCCAUUGGAGAUUUUUUUAAAGGGAAGUUUCUCCUAUUUUCUUCAAAAUUCUGAGCUGUGAAGAGGACCACUAGAAAGUUCAAUCUAUUUAUGAUUUUUUAAAAAACUGUUAUUAUAUAUAUUUAAGUGUAUGUCAUGUUUCCACACAUAUAUACAUAGUGAAAUGAUCACUGUAAUCAAGCUAAUUAGAAUAUCCCCCAUCUCGCAUAGUCACCUUUGUGUGUGAAAAGGGUUCAGUGCUUCCCUCUCCACUCUUCAUCUCCCCUUUAAAAAAGCAGAGAUGAAUGGAGAGGGAAAGGUUGAACAAUGGUUAUGUGGUGGGACUGCUGGGAUUCACCUGAGAGUUAAAACCAGCUAGUUCUACCCGUAUGUUUUUCACUUAGAUAAGCCAACAAAUUAAUUUCUUUUCCUCUAUUCUUCUUGUCUUCUUUCCUGCCUCUUUACCUGUCUCCCUUCCUUCCUCUCUUCCCACUCUCUUUCUUUCCUUAUUUAAAUUGGUUUGAAUUGAGUUUCUGACACUAAUGGAGAGUCCUUAUUGUGCCUUCACGUUAUUUUUAUCAAACCAGAAAAUGUUAAUGACAUAAAACAAUUACUGUUUGGACAAGGAAAAUUGUAUUUCUUUCCUUGAAAUUUCUACACACAUACACAUUUGUGCUUGUUAGUGAGGCUAAGCAUUUUCCCCCUUAUUUGUGAAUUAUAUAUUCAAUGUUUUGAUCCAUUUAUCAAAUAAAUUCCUUAGUUUAAAAAAUAUUUGCAGGUGCGGUUAUUAUGGAAAGCAGCAUGAAGUUUCCUCUAAAUAUUAAAAAUAGAAUCACCACAUGACUCAGCAAUCCCUCCUCUCUAUAUAUUUUUAAAGGAAAUGAAAUCAGCACUUCAUGGAACUAUCUCCACUCCCGGCUGGGCGCAGUGGCUCACGCCUGUAAUCCCAGCACUUUGGAAGGCCAAGGCAGGUGGAUCACGAGGUCAAGAGAUGGAGACCAUCCUGGCCGACAUGGUGAAACCCUGCCUCUACUAAAAAUACAAAAAUUAGCUGGGCGGGGAGGCACAUGCCUGUAAUCCCAGCCACUCGGGAGGCUGAGACAGGAGAAUCGCUUCAACCUGGGAGGCGGAGGUUGCAGUGGCUGAGAUCGCACCACUGCAGUCCAACCUGGUGACAGAGGGAGACUCCAUCAAAAAAAAAAAAAAGAAAAAAAGAAAUAUCUCCACUCUUAUAGUCAUUGAAGCAUAAUUAACAAUAACCAAGCUAUGAAAUCAAUGUAAGUGCCCAUCAAUGGAUGAGUGGAUAAAGAAAAUGUUACACACACACACACACACACACACACACACACACAGUGGAAUUUCAUGUAGCCUUAAAAAAGAAGACGAUUUUGUUAUUUAUAACAUGCCUGAAUGUGGAGGACAUUAGGUUAAGUGAAAUAAGCCAGAAAGAAAAAUACUGCAUGAUCUUACUUAUAUGUGGAAUCUAAAAACGUCAAGUACAAAAAAGCAAAAAGUAGAAUAGUGGUUGCUGGGAUCUGGGGCUGAGAUUAUGAUGGGCAAAUGGGAAGAAAUUGAGUGCAGAGUUUUGAUUAGGAUCAAUAAGUCUAGAGAGCAAAUGUACAGCAUGAAGACUAUAGUUACUACUGGGUUGUAUACUGGAAAUUUGCUAAGAAAGUAGGUUGUAGGUCCUCUUACCAUACACACAUAUACAGGUAACUAUGCGAGAUGAUGGAUAUUCUAAUUAGAUUGACUGUAGUAAUCAUUUCACUAUGUAUGUGUAUGAAAACAUGACAUACACCUUAAAUAUAUAUAAUAACAUUAAAAAAACCCAAAAUCUUGAAAAGAUUAUUAAGCUUUCCAAUGCCCAAGAAAAGGAAGAAAAGAAAAAGAAACUGCCACAGCUUAUUUUAAAAAUAAAAGUGGGCUCUCUUUUUAAAAUAUUAAUUUUAUAGUACCUUAUCUGGUAACCAAAAUAUUUUUAAAUAUUCUGAUGCUAUUAUAGUAUAAUCAUUCUUUAAUAAUUUUGUAGAUUUCACUUUACUGAACAAAGCCCUAAACAAAAACAUUGAAUAUGACAAAAACUUGCAUAAGUUUAUUUCAUACUGAAGACAUAUAUGCUAUAGAUUUGUAGAAAUACUUCCCACUUGGUUACUUGCUUAUGUUAUGAGUUUUUACCUACAGAAACUUGCUUUUUUUCUUGUAAAAUUUAGAUUAAUUUCUUUGGUAUGUUUUCCUACUGCUUUAAAACUUCAGAAUUCCUUUUUUCAUAGAACUUUUCUAUUUUCACUUAGAAACAUUCAGAACUUAUGUUAGUGUGUGAUUUGAGGUGGUUUUUGUGUUGACUUUGUUUCCUACCUUGUUAGCUAUUUUUUCUAUGCCAUUGUGGAAUAAUUUGUUAAUUUUCAGUGGAUUCAUAAUGCCUUUAAAAAAUAAGGUUGUGUUCUCAGAGGUGAUAAAUUUUAUUUAUUUAUGAUGCUCCAUCUAUGUUAAGGCUAUUUGUAAGUCUAUGUGUAUGGUAGGAUUUUAGUUCUACACUGCAUCUUACACAGGUUAGUAAAAUAUAGCACAUUUAUUAAUUAUUUAGAGUAUAGGAUUACGUAUUGAUAAGUACAAGCUAUUGAGCCUUCCCAUGUCCUAGGCACUUUGCUGAAUUUUAAUCCUUAUCACAACUCAAUGGGAUAGAUACUGUUGUCAUCUUUUGUAGACAUGGGUUUAUUAUAGCUAUUUUAAAAUGAGUUAGCAAAUUCAAAUUUCAAAAAUUCUAUUUUUAUUUCUAAUAUGGUAAAUAUUGAUAAAUAAAAUUUAUAUAAACAAAUAUUUUGAUGUACUCAGUAACCCAUAAGGGUAUAUAAGAGCCCUGAAAUGAAAAAGUUUGAGAACUGCUUAUAAGCCCUAUAUAAUUAUUAGGUAUUAAUAUCAUUAUUAAUUUUUGAAUCUAUAUUCAAAUAUAGUUAUCAUAAAAUGAACUUCAUAUAUGUAAGUGUAUACUUUGAUGUGUUUUGACAUAUGUAUAUUAUAAUGAAG